UGGGGAAUAUUGGACAAUGGGCGAAAGCCUGAUCCAGCCAUGCCGCGUGUGUGAAGAAGGUCUUCGGAUUUUAAAGCACUUUAAGUUGGGAGGAAGGGCAUUAACCUAAUACGUUAGUGUUUUGACGUUACCGACAGAAUAAGCACCGGCUAACUCUGUGCCAGCAGCCGCGGUAAUACAGAGGGUGCAAGCGUUAAUCGGAAUUACUGGGCGUAAAGCGCGCGUAGGUGGUUUGUUAAGUUGGAUGUGAAAUCCCCGGGCUCAACCUGGGAACUGCAUUCAAAACUGACUGACUAGAGUAUGGUAGAGGGUGGUGGAAUUUCCUGUGUAGCGGUGAAAUGCGUAGAUAUAGGAAGGAACACCAGUGGCGAAGGCGACCACCUGGACUAAUACUGACACUGAGGUGCGAAAGCGUGGGGAGCAAACA
rnacentral:rRNA from 1 species